CUCGCCGCCGGACCGAGGCGUCGGGUCGACCCAUCGUCGAUCCGGUCACGCCGCGUUCCGGGACGAGACGAAAUGUGGCCGCAUGCGCGGCUGAAUCGCAAA
rnacentral:ncRNA from 1 species